UCCCUGGUGGCUCAGUGGUAAAGAAUCUGCUUGCAAUGCAGUAGACUGAGGUUCGAUCCCUGGAUGGGGAA
rnacentral:tRNA from 1 species